rnacentral:lncRNA from 1 species
GCAAUUGUAUUCCAGUUGGGUUGUAAAUGAAUAAUAAAAGUCCAUAUUAAAUAUAUGAACUGUAUUUUGGAUACAUAUGUGAAAUAAGUAAAUGGGCCUGAAUCCAUAAUUAUGAACAAAAUGUGAGAUUUAAAUAAGUUAGGCUUACUACGGGCUUCGGGGGCCUUAAGUCCACCCAGGCCCUAGUGCCGGUCCGGCCCACGGAAAUGGGUCGUGACAUAAAUGCU